UACGUAGGGGGCCAGCGUUGUCCGGAAUCAUUGGGCGUAAAGAGCGCGUAGGCGGCCAGAUAAGUCUGGUGUGAAAGUCAAAGGCUCAACCUUUGAAUGCCGCUGGAAACUGUCUGGCUAGAGUCCGGGAGGGGCGAGUGGAAUUCCUGGUGUAGCGGUGAAAUGCGCAGAUAUCAGGAGGAUCACCAAUGGCGAAGGCAGCUCGCUGGAACGGUACUGACGCUGAGGCGCGAAAGCGCGGGGAGCGAACAGG
rnacentral:rRNA from 1 species